UACGAAGGGGGGCUAGCGUUGCUCGGAAUUACUGGGCGUAAAGCGCACGUAGGCGGCUUGUUAAGUCAGGGGUGAAAUCCUGGAGCUCAACUCCAGAACUGCCUUUGAUACUGGCGAGCUUGAGUUCGGGAGAGGUGAGUGGGAACUGCGAGUGUAGAGGUGAAAUUCGUAGAUAUUCGCAAGAACACCAGUGGCGAAGGCGGCUCACUGGCCCGAUACUGACGCUGAGGCACGAAAGCGUGGGGAGCAAACAGG
rnacentral:rRNA from 1 species